UUGACUGCAAGACCCACCCAUCAAGCAGGGACGAAAUUCAGCCUUAGUGAUCCGACAGUGCCGAGUGGAAGGGCCGUAUCUCAAUGGAUAAAAUUUACUCUAGGGAUAACAGGCUGAUCUUCCCCAAUAGUUCACAUCGACGGGAAGUUUUGGCACCUCGAUGUCAGCUCUUCGCCACCUGGGGUGGUAGUACGUUCCAAGGGUUGGGUUGUUCGCCCAUUAAAGUGGUACAUGAUCUGGGCUUAGAACGUCGUGAGACAGUUCGGUCCAUAUCCGAUGCAGGCAUUAGAGCAUUGAGAGGACCUUUCCCUAGUACGAGACAAUCGAGAAGGAUGCACCUCUGGUGUACUAGUUAUCGUGCCCACGGUAGACGCUGGGUAGCCAAGUGCAGAGAAGAUAACUACUGAAAGAAUAUAAGUAGGAAGCCCACCCCAAGAUGAGUGCUCUCCUAUUCUUACUUCCCUUAGAGCCCUAGUCACGAACACGGUUGGGACAACGACGGGUUGUCUGUCCUUGCAGGGGAUGGAGCGACAAAAGUAUUAAGAAUCCAAGAUAAGGUCAUGGCGAGAUGAUCCGUUUAUCAUUAUGAUAGGUGUCAAGUGGAAUUGCAGUGAUGUAUGCAGCCGAUGAAUCCUAACAGACUGAGAGAUUUGAACCU
rnacentral:ncRNA from 1 species